GCUUUCUUCAUCAUACCCAUUAGGGCUGUGUUUUGCUGUGUAGCCCUAGCAAUAAUCUCGGAGUGGUGAAUGGCCUGUAACAUCUUCAAAUAUACUUUUGUUAGGUCUAGAUCCUGAGGGUCAUUUGGAGAAGCCGAGGCAGUUUCCCUAGGGGCUGGCUUGAGUAGAUUUUGUUCCGCAGUCCCACACUUACCCGGGCUAUUUGGUUGAGCCAGCACUUCAAAUCUGUUACUCAGGGGUAAGGACAUGGUGGCUGUGCUGCUAAGAGAUCCGUAGUGAAAAGCAGAGGGUUUGUUAAACAGAUGAUAGUAUAAAAAAUAAAAUUAGGUAAUCAGUCAGUUAAAAUGAAACAAUAAUUAAAUUAAUGAUUAAAUUUCAUUUAAACAGAUCUGGUUAAAUAAAAACCAAAUUAAAUGAGCAUAAGAGAUACUUAAAAGAGGAUACUAAAACAAGGGGGGAACAAAAGGAUUAAAAGAGAAAGGGGUAGGGAAGAUAAGAGAGGAGACAACAGCACACUAGGUUAGCUUAAAAUACUUAGCAAGCACUUACAGUGCAGUAGAAAACAAUAAGGCUCCGUGAUAAUCCUGUAUUACCAAAACAGGGGGACACGUGUGUAAAAAAAAUCAGGAUUCAAAAAUAUCCUUGCAGGGCAAUCAUAAAUAGAAAAUAAAAGAUAUAAAAUAAAUAAAUAAUAAAAAGUCCUUCAGGGUGGGGAAUCCAUCCAAACAGGGGAUGAGUUUUGUUUAAAAUAGUUGAGGUUUGUGUCGAUGCUUGGAUUAGCUGGGGAGAGUUGUGUAGAGUCUUCAAACGUGAUGUUGUAUAAUCUUCUGUGUGCGCACACUCUUUUUCCUGUAGGUUAGUAGACAACACUCACCCAUUUGCUGAUCCAGGCCUGAGACCAGAUCCAGUAGGCCUCAAGCCUCAGUCCUCUGGUUAGACCCUGUUUGUUGAGAAAACCUGUCUGAAGUUAGUCUCUCUCAGAGGAUUAAAGGAAAGAAGGUCCCAACGUUUCGCCUGGAAGGCUUCUUCAGGGGAGCAAGAAGAGAGUGAAGGAUCCAGGCCUCUAUAUUCAUAUAGAUCAAGUCCAUGAGGGUGGAUCCUAGAAAUAAAAGGUUCCAUAUUGGCUCAUGGAGAAAAAGCAGAUUGAUAAAUGGUCCGGAGCUGGUUCAGUGAGAGGAGAGUACAAGUUUUGAAAGGAUAUGAAGGUUGUGUUAGGGAUCCUCAACUCUGGAGAUCCUGUUGGACCUGGAUUGGGGGCUCUUCCUCCUGAAAACCGGGAGGGGGGGGGUUUAUAGCUUUACUAGUUAGAGUUGGGUCCUCCAACAUAGUAAUAGGAUUAGGUCAAGGUCAGGUUAGGGUUGGGGCAGGGUCAAGGGUCAAGGGUCAGGUUAGUGUUAGGGCAGGGUCGAGGGUCAGGUUAGGGUUAGGGCAGGGUCCAGGGUCAGGUUAGGGUUAGGGCAGGGGCGGGGGUCAGGUUAGGGUUAGGGCAGGG